CAGUCGCCACGGUAAUACGUAGGGUGCAAGCGUUAAUCGGAAUUACUGGGCGUAAAGCGUGCGCAGGCGGUUUGUUAAGACAGAUGUGAAAUCCCCGGGCUCAACCUGGGAACUGCAUUUGUGACUGGCAAGCUAGAGUCUGGCAGAGGGGGGUGGAAUUCCGCGUGUAGCAGUGAAAUGCGUAGAUAUGCGGAGGAACACCGAUGGCGAAGGCAGCCCCCUGGGAUAACACUGACGCUCAUGCACGAAAGCGUGGGGAGCAAACAGGAUUAGAUACCCGAGUAGUCCCUGUCUCUUAUAC
rnacentral:rRNA from 1 species